UACGUAGGGUGCAAGCGUUGUCCGGAAUUAUUGGGCGUAAAGAACUCGUAGGCGGUCUGUCGCGUCUGCUGUGAAAACUCGGGGCUUAACCCCGGGCCUGCAGUGGGUACGGGCAGACUAGAGUGCGGUAGGGGAGACUGGAAUUCCUGGUGUAGCGGUGAAAUGCGCAGAUAUCAGGAGGAACACCGAUGGCGAAGGCAGAUCUCUGGGCCGUAACUGGACGCUG
rnacentral:rRNA from 1 species